rnacentral:misc_RNA from 1 species
GAUGAAGAACGCAGCGAAAUGCGAUACGUAAUGUGAAUUGCAGAAUUCAGUGAAUCAUCGAGUCUUUGAACGCACAUUGCGCCCCCUGGUAUUCCGGGGGGCAUGCCUGUCCGAGCGUCAUUGCUGCCCUCAAGCACGGCUUGUGUGUUGGGCCUCCGUCCUCCUACCGGGGGACGGGCCCGAAAGGCAGCGGCGGCACCGCGUCCGGUCCUCGAGCGUAUGGGGCUUCGUCACCCGCUCUUGUAGGCCCGGCCGGCGCUUGCCGACACAUCAAUCUUUUUUCCAGGUUGACCUCGGAUCAGGUAGGGAUACCCGCUGAACUUAAGCAUAUCAAUAAGCGGAGGA